CCAGCCUUCAUCUCCAAGCAACAACCGACUUCCACCAAACUCCUUAUCCACGCCUCUGCCCACCAUGUGCCCCAACCUUGCCGUGGUGGGCUAGGGUCUUCGAGGAGCUCCACGGUGGCUCCUUACCCGCAGCUUUGCCCCGCAUGCACCCACCCGCCGUGGUGGGCUAUGGUUGCACUAGAGCUCCGUGGCCGUGACUGCCCCACCAUUGUCGUCAUCGCUCCCAUCCCUACCUAGCCCAAUCAGCCUUCUCCACUAGUCGUCGGGCUAUGGUUGCACUGGAGCUCCGUGGCUGUGACUGCCCCACCAUUGUCGUCAUCGCUCCCACCUCUACCUAGCCCAAUCAGCCUUCUCCAC
rnacentral:lncRNA from 1 species